GACAGAGGAAGAGAGAGAGAGAGAGAGAGAGAGAGAGAGAGAGAGAGAGAGAGAGAAUGGGGGGUGGGGAGGAGGAGGAAAAAUUCCAGGAAGAUGGGUGUCUAGGUGAGAACAGCUGAAGGACUGUCCUGCGAAAGAAGGUGGGGUUAUGCGCUGUCUCUCAGCGGGGGCAUUGGGCAGCUGUAUCAGGGCAGUUGCCAGGAGGAAGUUUUCUGCCUAAGUGCACCCAGCGGCGAUGUGGAGAAUAAUUUCUUCAUGACUGGAAGCAAUUCAGAUCAACAGAUCCCGGGUGAGCACUCGUCUACACAUGACACAAAAAGCCCUGCCUUGAAAGGCAGUGGACUGAAUGAUCUUGAGGGUGGAUUCUUUCCAAUUGAAAAGAAAAGAAAAAUCUAUCCAUUCGUUGGUAUUCAUUUAUAGAAGGGCACUGAUGCACGAAGGGCGAAUUUCUCACCUAAGGGCCAAAAGUAAGUUGAUGAUCACACAAAGGAGCUCUUACAGGACCCAGCUGACAAGUCUCUGUAAGCUUUUUAUUGGAGUUUUAAAUGGACCGUGUCCUGUUUCUCCUUUUUGCUUUGGUGACUAACAAGUGGCAUCUGCACAUGAAUGGACGUUUUAAAAGGCUGGCCUCCAUCCCAUAAGCUGUUCUUUUCUUUCCAGCAUAUCCACAACUAACUUGGGGGAUACAAUGGUGUGCUGAGGUGUUGGGUUAGGGAACAAGUGCAAUGACUGGAUUGUCAAUAAUACAAACAUUACAUGGUGAUUUUUUUAGAAAAAUUUAUUUGACAGUCACUGAUGUCUAUGCAUAUAUUUGCCAGCCAAUCAAACCAUAUAAAAUAAUAAAAUAAAUAAUAAGCUGCUUGAAAACUUAAGUACAGUUCGUACAAUGCAAGUAUGUGAUUAAGAGAAAAUAAUCGUAAAAUUGAAAGUUAACAGAUAAUUAGGGCUAAUUUCUAGUCUUCUACCUUAAUAAAUUAUAAUCAUCAUAGAUCUACUCAGAUUCUGUUCAGUAUCCAAAAUGUGGCAUUUUAUCAGUAAUAUAACUUGUAAUGAAAAGGCUGCCAGUUUAAACCAUAAGGUACAAUGCACAAAAUAUAUACUGUCUUUAGAGAUGUACUUCGAAGUUCAAGUAGUUUUAAAUUAUAAAAACAAGAUUUGUAUGCUAUGAAUAUUGGUCAGAGGGUUUGAAAUAUGUCCUUCCUGUUUCUGACUCAAUCAUGUAGAAAGUCAUUGACAAACACAGGAUUCUUCUAUUCAGUUUUCUCACCUAGAAACAAGAUAAUUUGCCAAGUUGAGAAUCCAUCCAGACUUUUUGUUUCUAAGUAUCUAAUUUGAAAGUCAUGUAGAACAUGAAAAAUGAAAACACUUAGAAUUAAGAAUUUAAUUCUGCAAUUGAAAAGACUGCUGAUUUCAAUUUUUAUAGGUGUUUUUGUUUUUUAAGACAUGGUCCCAUAUAGACCAGACUGGCCUCAAACUCACAAUGUGUGUCACUGAAAACAACCUUCACAUUCUGAUCCCCACCUCUACCUCCCACGUGUUGGGUUUUAGGCCUGCCCUACCACUCCUGUUGGUGGUGGGACUCCAACCUAACUCUCAGCCUAGGCAACACUCUACCCGUUGAGUUGUAUCCCCAGCCCACUUUUUCUUAAUAACUUCAAGAUUUUCUCAACCCAAAUCCUUUGUUACUGUAGCAAAUAUGGAGCAAAUUUACAUUUUUGAACUGUGUGUCUCUCUGUCCUAGUGGAAAUACUAAGGACUCUAAAGCAGUAGGUUCUCAGCCUUCCUAGUGCUUCGACCCUUAAAUCCAGUUCCUCAUGUCGUGGUGACCCCCAACCAUAAAAUUAUUUUCAUUGCUACUUCCUAACUGUAAUUUUGCUACUGUUAUGAAUCACAAUGUAUGUAUUUUUAGAGAUAGGGGUUUGCCAAAGGGUCUCAACCCACAGGUUGAGAACUACUGCUCUUAAGGAAAGUACUUCUGGUUUACUUGCUUCCUCUUCCCUCCCAUUUACUUGCCUCCCUUUUCCCCCAAGGAGUAUCAAUAAAUAGCAUCCACGUGGAGAAGAUCGUAGUGGCACAGCGGAGCUUGACUAAGGGAGAAGGGCCUGGAGGGCCAGAAGGAUCUUCAUAGGAAAGUAGAGACUAAACAAGGUCGUGAAUGUGUGGAAGGAGGGGAAGAGACAGACGAAGUCAGAAAAUAUAUCCCUAAUGAGUCAAGGCUAUAUACAUGCACACAGGCAGGCCGUUGGAGUUCAAAGAUGAUUCAGGAAGCAUCCUUCUCAGUGUGCUUUGCCAGAGCCCACCUGGAAGAGAAGGGUGUAUCCAAAAGAAGCAGUGGCCUGGCAUGGCCUGCAUAAUGGGGAAAAAAAAUCCAUGGGUCUGGGAGAGAAAGAGAGACAAUCAGAAUGUGCCUAAACGCAUCCAACUUUCAUCCUGUGAGCCUGAAUGGCCCUGGUCUUUGAUGGAGAAUGGGAAAAGGGUACAUGAACUUUUAUAUUCAUGUAACAAGAGAUCAUUAAUCAGGAUAUUCACCAAAUACCUUUGUGGAAGCAUCAGGUCAUCAGCUACAGCACAGAAUGGAAAUCGUUUCUGCAGGACUCAGAAACUCUCUGCUGUUAUCACCUUUAAGGUUGGAGGAGGCUAGAGGUCUGCUAAGGUUUGAGACGUGCUCCGGGAGUUUCACCUAACAGUCACAAGGAUGUUAGGUCACAUACAGAGGUUUGAAAAUAAAUGACUAUUGAAGAACUGGGCUAGAUCAAGGUAAACUGGGCUCUCAGCCGGCAGCAUUCCACUUCUCCACAAACACGAUGCUCCUACUCAGCCAAGAUCAGUCUGCAGCAACUUCAUUCAACACAAGUAAGGCAUCAUGAGAGGACUUCAGCUCCUCAGUUCAUCCUGUUGACCAAGCACCACACUGGGUGUACACAGACGUCAUAUGUUUAGUGUCCCAUGGAACUGGGAAGGCCCAUCCUUAAGAUCUGAUGAAGAUGAGGAUGGGUAAAAGAGAAGGAUCUUCGGGACAAGGAAAUAGCUGUCAUUAAGGUCAUUAAGGAAGAAGUCUCUGGAUUGCAUUAGUAUUUAUUCUGUUCUCAAUUUUCCUCUUUCUGGGUCCUGAGCAUCUGAUAUUAACACUUACGUGCAACAUAUAUAGGGGUGUGGUGCCUCAAGUUAAAAUAAUGCAAAGCACAGUGUAGCCUAAAGAAAAAAACAAUGACAGGGCAUCCUCACCAGUCAGACACUCCUUCACGUGUGCGCUUUCCAACUCUUCAAACUAACAAUGUAUCUGCCCAUUGUAACUACACCCAUCUGUACUUUACAAAGGAUUUGCUUGCUUAGAUUUGUAUUUGAAAUAACUAUCUUUAAAUUCUAUUUUUUGUCUUCUGGCCAAUUGCACUUUUUGGCUCUAACUUUGUAUGGCAUGACUAAUUACAUUUCUAAGAAAGAUUGAUCCUAACUCUUAUUCAUUGCUAAUUAUUUGAUUUACCAUGCUUCUUUAAUGUUACACCGGAUUCCAGCUGAGGAAAAUAAAUGGUUCAUGACACUACAGAGUUAUCUGUGGACAGUAAUGCGGUUAUCUCUUCACAUUCCUUCUGAACAACAAGACCCUAUCCCAUGUUACAAAUACUUUCAGCAAUAAGAGUGAACACAGAAGUCCAGACAUGUAAGAAAUGUGACUUUCACUAAUUUUUGUGAGCAUAGACAAAUUAUUCUUCUUAAUUCAUAGACGUAUUCAGAAACAAGACUCCAAUAAGUCUUUUGUAAGUAUUACCAUCGACUUUACACUGGAGACUACAUGAAUGUGUUAGCAGUUUCCUAAGUCUAGCCAGCAUAUGUAACUGGGGAACACAUACCCAAGGUAUAGUGUCUUGCUACAAGCAUCCCUUUUCUUUCUAUAAUUGAUGCUUUCCAGAAGACUUCAAC